CGCGAACUGGGGGUUGUGGGGGUGGCUUUGUGGAGUCAGCCACCCUCUUUAGUUCUUGCUUGGGCUUCGCUCCCAGCUCUAAGGACACCUGCCAUCUAGAGCGCUUUCUCUGUUAAAGUAGAUUUUCAGCCUCUCUGAUCCCUCAAUUUGGUCUGUUUUCAAAAUAUAGAACGGGUUCGUGCUCCUAUGAGAAUCUAAUGCCAUCGCUGACCUGACAGGAGGCAGAGCUCAGUUGAUAACGCUCACUGGCCAGCCACUUCCCUCCUCCUAACAGGAGGCCCAGUUCCUAACAGGCCAUGGACUAGUACCAGUUUGUGAUCUGAUGGUUGGAAACCCCUGCUCUAGAGUAUAAAGCCAAACUGCUCUCAGUAUAGAUUACCAGGAUGUCCCAGACACUUUAACCCUGUGUGUGGCAGUGACAUGUCCACUUAUGCCAAUGAAUGUACUCUGUGCAUGAAAAUCAGGGAAGGUGGUCAUAAUAUUAAAAUCAUUCGAAAUGGACCCUGCUGAUGGAGCAGUUUACAGAAAAGAAGAUGGAGAGACCACCUUCACUGGCAGACUAGAUAAAUUGCAUUUCCCCUUUUUCUCUUUUCCUGUGUUUCUUUACAUGAGAUUUGUUAACACACAUUUUCUGAGAGCAGGUAUGGAAGACAGCCAUGUGUAGUGAUGGAUAAUUUAAAGAAAAAAAGAAUCCUUGUUUCUUGGCUUUUGCUCCUGGAGUUAAGCUUACUGCCCAGGUGACUUGUGCAUUGCUUUAUUUAGUUGAAAUAAAAUCAGCAUUGAAUUCAG
rnacentral:lncRNA from 10 species